UACGGAGGGUGCAAGCGUUGUCCGGAUUUAUUGGGUUUAAAGGGUGCGUAGGCGGCCCCUGUAAGUCAGUGGUGAAAAUACUGCAGCUUAACUGUAGCAUUGCCAUUGAUACUGUAGGGCUUGAGUACAGAUGAGGUAGGCGGAAUUGAUGGUGUAGCGGUGAAAUGCAUAGAUACCAUCAAGAACACCGAUUGCGAAGGCAGCUUACUAAGCUGUAACUGACGCUGAGGCACGAAAGCGUGGGGAUCGAACAGG
rnacentral:rRNA from 1 species